UCCACAGCUUCUUGCAGCUUCCAGGCACAGCACCAAUCAGCUGAUGGUCAGCCCUCCGACUGUUUGGAAGAAGUUACGCAGGUAAUCCCCCAGCUGGGAAGAGGCCCAUGCUGCCACCACUGCCUGACAAAACAAGGGUAGCUCUCAGACAUGCAUCAUUUAUAAGCUCACAGGGACCAGAACCUCAAUGGGUGCUGAUCUCGUCUUCCGUGUUUGUUGUUCUAAAGCUUUUGAAAGUGUUUUAAAUGAUGCUGAGCAAGAGCCCAUAAACUUUUACAAGGCAAGGGACCUCAAAGAACAGAUACAUGAAGUUGUCGAGCAGCUCUGCUGAAGGGAGAAAGGAACCAUUCUAAUGUCUCUACUCUACACCCUUUUUUAAUCUUGAAUUUUAAAGACAUAAAUAACUCAUACCCAGAAUAUCUUAGUAUCUGUGUCUUCUGCCCUAUGAAUGGCAUACAACUCUUUCUAAUUUGUUUAUCUGUAUGACUUUUAGGGAGUGUGCACUUUUAUUUAGUUAUGUGUGCAUUAAACAUAGACCUUUCUAUCUGUGCAAAUAUACACACAAGAUGGCUGUGAACAUUUAACAACAGAAAUCAAUAUAAACAGCUACUCCCCAGUGAAACCAUAAUAUAGCAAAACAAAAGAGGCUGUAAAAUGAGAACAGCCAGGUAUAUUGAGUUCAUUGGAGGAAAGGUUAAAUAUAAAUACAACUGAUAAAUAAGUAUUUAAUUCAGAACACUCAUAGAUCAUCUACUGAAUUCCUGCUCCAUACUCUUCCACCACCUUAACUUUGGUGGAUGGAUAUAAGGAAUUAGGCCUUAUUAGUGGUUAUGCCAACAUAACCUUGCCAGUGGAAGUUUGGCUCGUGUCAUCACUGUGCACCUUUUAACAAGGGGUAAAGACAAACAUCUUUUUCCCCCACCCCAAAUGUUAACUAUUGAAGUUCUUUCAUUGAUUGCUGGUCCCUCACACUGGUUUUGAUUUUUGCUGUUCUCUUCGUUUAAUCUCACAGGUUUUUAUUAUAUCAUCUUGUUUUAA
ensembl:lncRNA